GAAGCCCCUCCCAAGAUAAGUUCUCCCUGACCCCUUGAGGGUCCUGAAGGGCCGUCGAAGACGACGACGUUGAUAGGCUGGGUGUGGAAGCGUUGUGAGGCGUUGAGCUAACCAGUACUAAUUGCCCGUGAGGCUUGACCAU
rnacentral:rRNA from 1 species